AGAGUUGAUAUGGCUCAGAACGAACGCUGGCGGCGCGUCUUAAGCAUGCAAGUCGAACGGCAAGAGGUAGCAAUACCUCCUAGAGUGGCGGACUGGUGAGUAACACGUGGGUGACAUACCCUUCAGAUGGGGAUAGCUAUUAGAAAUAGUAGAUAAUACCGAAUACGAGCACAGGGGUUAGAGAUCUGUGAGGAAAGGAGCUAAGGCUCCGCUGAAGGAAUGGCCUGCGGCCCAUUAGCCAGUUGGUGUGGUAAGAGCCCACCAAGGCGAUGAUGGGUAUCCGGCCUUAGAGGGUGAACGGACACAUUGGGACUGAGAUACGGCCCAGACUCCUACGGGAGGCAGCAGCUAAGAAUAUUCCGCAAUGGACGAAAGUCUGACGGAGCGACGCCGCGUGGAUGAAGAAGGCCGGAAGGUUGUAAAAUCCUUUUGAAACUGAAGAAUAAGCGUUGUAGGGAAUGACAGCGUGGUGACAGUAGGUUUUGAAUAAGCAACGGCUAAUUACGUGCCAGCCGCCGC
rnacentral:rRNA from 1 species